rnacentral:rRNA from 1 species
AUGCAGGAGAUGAUAAACAAGCAGACAAGCAUGGCCUACUACUUCCUCUACUACUCGCGUCGCCCACGGAGCCCGUUCGCCGCCGUCGACCUCCUCGCGCCGCUCUUCGCCGACCUCCUGCGCUUCCACCCCGCUGAAGCCGUCGUAUUCGACGGCGUCCUCCCGUGGGCCGCCACCGCCGCCGCCGAGCUCGGCAUCCCGCGGUACGCUUUCACCGGCACGGGCUGCUUCGCGCUCUCGGUGCAGCGGUCCCUGCUUCUCCACACCCCGCAUGAGAGAGUCGCAUCGCUCACGGAGCCAUUCCUCAUGCCGGGCCUCCCGGACGCGGUGCGGCUCACCAGGUCGAGGCUCGCCGAGGCGACGCUCCCCGGCACGGACAACACCGGCCACGCGCAAGAGCGAGUACGGGAGAAGGAGGGCUCAAAGGUGAUAGGCCAGGCGUGUGGAGGAGUGCCCGCCCACGUCUGCACGAACCCGCAACUAAGAAGCGGCAGCGCGGCGCCCGCCGCGAACGCCAGGGCCGACGCGCCCGCCGCCAGCGUCGAGCUCGGCAGGUUGCUCCUGUCGCCGCUGCCCCCGUCGGCGGCUCACCGCGGCCACGCGGACGCGGGACGACGCGGUGGAGGAGACCUCGCGGCUGAAGCAGUCCCUCGCCGAGCUGGAGCUCAAGCUGGCGCGCCUCGAGGCCCGCGUGCUCCCCAUGCCGGUCGUCGCCGUCUUCCCCGUCGAAUCCUUCCUCGGCGCCGUCUCCACAGCAGCGGCUCCGGCCCCGAGGCGCCACCGUGCUCGCCUGUCGCCCUUGUGGCGCCGCCGGUCACGAUGGCAAGCGUAGGCGGCGGGGGGCAUGGCACCACCACCAAGAACGCCAUUUCUUGCGGGCUCCUGAUGGCGCUGCUGGUGCUGCGGCUGCGGCUGCUGGCGGUGGACCUCCCCAGGCGCAUCGAUCGUGCUCUCCUUCUCCUUCUCCCUGUCCACCCUUCUCCGGUGGUGAUGCUGGUGCUGAGGCAAGAGGAAGCCGGGCGGCGUCUGCGGCGGAGGGAGAGAGAGGGGAUUGAGGAUUAG